rfam:Triticum aestivum genome assembly, contig: Triticum_aestivum_CS42_TGACv1_scaffold_578543_7BL
UGUGUACUCCCUCCGUUCCAAAAUACUUGACUUCCAUUUGUCCAAAAAUGGAUGUACCUAUAUACUAAAACAUGUCUAGAUACACAUAUAUUUUGACAAAUAGAAGGCAUGUCUUGUGUAACGGAGGGAGUAGAAU